rnacentral:rRNA from 1 species
GACGUAGGGUGCGAGCGUUGUCCGGAUUUAUUGGGCGUAAAGAGCUCGUAGGUGGUUCGGUAAGUCGGAUGUGAAAUCUCCAGGCUCAACCUGGAGGGGUCAUUCGAUACUGCCGUGACUAGAGGUCGGUAGGGGAGUGUGGAAUUCCUGGUGGAGCGGUGAAAUGCGCAGAUAUCAGGAGGAACACCCGUAGCGAAGGCGGCACUCUGGGCCGAUACUGACACUGAGGAGCGAAAGCGUGGGGAGCGAACAGG